CAAGCCUCACGGGUAAUUAGUAUCGGUUAGCUACACUCAUUACUGAGCUUCCACACCCGACCUAUCAACAUCGUAGUCUUCGAUGGCCCUUCAGGGAUCUCAAGGAUCCAGGGAAACCUUAUCUUAGGGUGGGCUUCCCGCUUAGAUGCUUUCAGCGGUUAUCCCUUCCGUACAUAGCUACCCGGCAAUGCCACUGGCGUGACAACCGGAACACCAGGGGUACGUCCACUCCGGUCCUCUCGUACUAGGAGCAGCUCCCUUCAAGUUUCCAACGAACACGGCAGAUAGGGACCGAACUGUCUCACGACGUUCUAAACCCAGCUCGCGUACCACUUUAAAUGGCGAACAGCCAUACCCUUGGGACCUGCUACAGCCCCAGGAUGUGAUGAGCCGACAUCGAGGUGCCAAACUCCCCCGUCGAUGUGAACUCUUGGGGGGAAUUAGCCUGUUAUCCCCGGCGUACCUUUUAUCCGUUGAGCGAUGGCCCUUCCAUACAGAACCACCGGAUCACUAAGACCAGCUUUCGCUCCUGCUCGACAUGUCUGUCUCGCAGUCAAGCUCCCUUAUGCCUUUGCACUCUAAUGCGCGAUACCGACCGCGCUGAGGGAACCUUUGUGCUCCUCCGUUACUCUUUAGGAGGAGACCGCCCCAGUCAAACUACCCACCAUACAAUGUCCCUGAUCCGGAUAACGGACCUAGGUUAGAACUCUAAUCAUGCCAGGGUGGUAUCUCAAGGUUGGCUCCACAUAUGCUAACGCAUAUGCUUCAUAGCCUCCCACCUAUCCUGCACAAACAGGAUCAAAAUCCAAUGUAAAGCUGUAGUAAAGGUGCACGGGGUCUUUCCGUCUUGCCGCGUUUAAACUGCAUCUUCACAGCUAUUUCAAUUUCACUGAGUCUCUGGUGGAGACAGUGUGGCCAUCGUUACGCCAUUCGUGCAGGUCGGAACUUACCCGACAAGGAAUUUCGCUACCUUAGGACCGUUAUAGUUACGGCCGCCGUUCACCGGGGCUUCGAUCACGAGCUUCGCCCUAAAAGGGCUAACCCGAUCAAUUAACCUUCCGGCACCGGGCAGGCGUCACACCCUAUACAUCCUCUUGCGAGUUAGCAGAGUGCUGUGUUUUUAUUAAACAGUCGCAGCCACCUGGU
rnacentral:rRNA from 1 species